rnacentral:lncRNA from 1 species
GAACUUCUAGUACAGGGAUUGAAUCCCUCCGCCGCCACGCCUACCUUCGCAGGAAGGAAACCGCCAACGCCGUUCAGAAGCAGAUUUCUCUCUCACACGUCUACAAAUGCAAUGGUUUUGUUUCCCCUUGCUUUGUUUUUUUUCUCCCCACCUUAGGAUAAUAUUCCCACUUUCGUGGUGUUGUACAGAAGGCUGCGAGCUACAGUGGCCGCCGCAGCAGCACUAUCACCAACAGAAGAAGAACGUGUGACCAGCAACAUUCUCUCAAUCUUCCAACGAUCUGAGAUUUAGUCAAACCUGCACGUCACUCAGAACUGUUCCUCGUUGCCUGCCAAUUAAGCGUACCAUCCCUCCCAUCGCUUUGGUAGGUAAUUGCAAUGGAAUCAAUCACCCAACUCUGACACACAGAAUUGGAGACAUCGCAGGCUUGCCGCUCAACAUUCUCCGUAUCCAACGAACACGAAAGCCACAAGAGUGAUUUUCAAAUUAGGGUUUAAGAAAGGAAUUGUAUUAAUUUAGCGUCAUGAUGUGGUAAACUGAAAUCGGGUAAAACCACAACAUUUCAGCACAGAACCCUAAACUGGGUAACCACCAAAUGUCUUGAUUGCUAUCCACUACACUAGCAAGGUCAAUACAUAGGAACCCACUGAUCACUUACUGUGGAGCUGAAGAUGGAAUGUAAGCGGUGAACUUUGAGUCGGUCUAGUAUUCAA